rnacentral:rRNA from 1 species
GGCUGCAACUCGCCUGCAUGAAGCUGGAAUUGCUAGUAAUCGCGGAUCAGCAAGCCGCGGUGAAUACGUUCCCGGGCCUUGUACACACCGCCCGUCACACCAUGAGAGUUGGGGAUACCCGAAGCCUGUGAGCUAACUAUUUAUAGGAGCAGCAGUCGAAGGUAGAAUCAAUGAUUGGGGUGAAGUCGUAACAAGGUACC